UACGAAGGGGGCGAGCGUUGUUCGGAUUUACUGGGCGUAAAGGGCGCGCAGGCGGCAGACCAAGUCAGGCGUGAAAGCCCCGGGCUUAACCCGUGGGAGGUGCGUCUGGGACUGGUAUGCUAGAGUUCGGGAGAGGAGAGUGGAAUUCCCAGUGUAGAGGUGAAAUUCGUAGAUAUUCGGAAGAACACCAGUGGCGAAGGCGACUCUCUGGACCGAUACUGACGCUGAGGUGCGAAAGCGUGGGAGCAACAGG
rnacentral:rRNA from 1 species